GAUGAAGAACGUAGCGAAAUGCGAUAAGUAGUGUGAAUUGCAGAAUUCAGUGAAUCAUCGAAUCUUUGAACGCACAUUGCGCCCCUUGGUAUCCCGAGGGGCAUGCCUGUUCGAACGUCAUUUCACCACUCAAGCCUGGCUUGGUGUUGGGCGACGUCCCCUUUGGGGACGCGCCUCGAAACGCUCGGCGGCGUGGCACCGGCUUUAAGCGUAGCAGAAUCUUUCGCUUUGGAAGUCGGGGCCCCGUCUGCCGGAAGACCUACUCGCAAGGUUGACCUCGGAUCAGGCAGGGAUACCCGCUGAACUUAAGCAUAUCAAUAAGCGGAGGA
rnacentral:misc_RNA from 1 species